CGGACACGCUGGCGGCGUGGAUUAGGCAUGCAAGUCGGACGGUAGGGCUUUAUCGUAAGAUAGAGUUUGAGAGUGGCGAACGGGUGAGUAACACGUAGGAAUCUACCCUUAAGACGGGGACAACCCAGGGAAACUUGGGCUAAUACCGGAUGUGAGCAACUUUUAGUUGUUUGAAAGGUGGCGUAAGCUGUCGCUUGGGGAUGAGCCUGCGUCCUAUUAGUUAGUUGGUGAGGUAACGGCUCACCUAGGCAAUGAUAGGUAGGCGGGCCUUAACGGGUGGUCGCCCACACUGGGAUUGAGAUACGGCCCAGACUCCUACGGGAGGCAGCAGUCGAGAAUAGUCUACAAUGGUCGGAAGACUGAUAGUGCGACGCCGCGUGAACGAUGAAUCCCUUCGGGGUGUAAAGUUCUUUUAUAUGUGAGCAGUGCUUCUUAUAUUAACAGUAUGGGGAGAGAGAUAUUAGCAUAUGAAUAAGCAACGGCUAACUCCGUG
rnacentral:rRNA from 1 species